UCAUGGUAGCAUUCAAUUUUAACCUAAUUUAUUUUCUUAUAUACAGCCGUCAUCGAUCUUCCAACAAAAAGAAUGAAGCGAUAAGGGGGUGCAAAGGGUCACAGAAAUAUAUUGGGAGCUCACAGAAUGGGAUGCGAUCAUUGGAGUCCCGCCAUUACCAUGACUGCUGUCUCGACCCUAACUCACACACUCGAUUAUCUCCCUCUUUCUUUUUCUAUGGUUGACGCAAGUAUGACAGCCCCCAUGGAGAAGAGUGCGAUCGAUUUGAGGGUAACAAUGGGGUUUUGAGUCGUCGAGCGUAAAAGAAUAGAAUACGUGACCAGAUCAAGUUUCAUUUGGCUUCCGAUCUAUUGGCCAAUUUUGAUCUUAUUGAUUCAUUCAAACAGGUGCGAGGUGAUUUCUCGAGGGCUGAGGAGUAUUGCAGCCGAGCAAUCCUGGCAAACCCUAUCGAUGGAAAUGCUUUAUCAAUGUAUGCUGAUUUGAUUUGGGAGACACAAAAGGAUGCAUCUCCUGAUAACUAGUUACUUCGAUCAAGCAGUCAAAGCAUCCAAUUUCGUUUUUGUUGCUGAUCGAUUUAUGUAUUAUCACAUCACAACUUCUUCCCUGUUGUCUCACCUUUCUUCUUACAAUCACACGCAACACGCAUCCGGUGUUUGUGGAAGUUCCUGAAAAAUAAUCUGACCAGACCAUGUGGUAUUCAUUCUGUCAGAUUUACUAAAAUUUUGUGUUAUUUAUUUGCCACGUAAAAGCAUUCUCAAAGAAUAUUAUUCUUACAUGAUUUGAUUCAUGGCAGUUAUUUUCGUAAAAUAUCUAAUUUCAUUGAUGAUCAAGGGCCUGAAGAUUAGAUGAUGGUUGAACAAGUGUCACCGGUCUUCACAAAGGAAAGAGCUAUUCUUCUGAUAGAACAAUCUACAAUAGAAUGAUAGGAGUAUAUGUAAUAAUAUAUUCUGCUAGAAUAUUCAGGUCGAAUAAUAUACAUAGUUUUGUUUGUUAUUAGUGAGUAUUUCAUUGUCAUAGACUAUUAUAUAUAGUUUUUACUUUUUUAAGAAUGUAAUGAAAAUUUUGAAGUUGUAUCCAAAAAUAUAUUAGUAGUC